CCUACGGGGGGCAGCAGUGAGGAAUAUUGGUCAAUGGUCGGGAGACUGAACCAGCCAAGCCGCGUGAGGGAUGAAGGUACAGAGUAUCGUAAACCUCUUUUGUCAGGGAACAAAGGCGGGGACGUGUCCCCGGAUGAGUGUACCUGAAGAAAAAGCAUCGGCUAACUCCGUGCCAGCAGCCGCGGUAAUACGGAGGAUGCGAGCGUUAUCCGGAUUUAUUGGGUUUAAAGGGUGCGCAGGCGGUCUGUUAAGUCAGCGGUCAAAGCCCGGGGCUCAACCCCGGCCCGCCGUUGAAACUGGCAGUCGCGAGUUGGAGAGAGGUAUGCGGAAUGCGCGGUGUAGCGGUGAAAUGCAUAGAUAUCGCGCAGAACUCCGAUUGCGAAGGCAGCAUGCCGGCUCCACACUGACGCUGAGGCACGAAAGCGUGGGUAUCGAACAGGAUUAGAUACCCUUGUAGUC
rnacentral:rRNA from 1 species